rnacentral:rRNA from 1 species
CAGUCGCCGCGGGAAUACGUAGGGGGCAAGCGUUGUCCGGAAUUAUUGGGCGUAAAGCGCGUGUAGGCGGCUCAGCAAGUCCGCUCUGAAAGCCCAGGGCUCAACCCUGGGAUGCGGGUGGAUACUGCUGAGCUCGAGUCCGGAAGAGGCGAGUGGAAUUCCUGGUGUAGCGGUGAAAUGCGCAGAUAUCAGGAGGAACACCAAUGGCGAAGGCAGCUCGCUGGGACGUGACUGACGCUGAGACGCGAAAGCGUGGGGAGCAAACAGGAUUAGAUACCCCCGUAGUCCCUGUCUCUUAUAC